rfam:Stegodyphus mimosarum contig119693, whole genome shotgun sequence.
GCCUUCGUGGUGUAAUGGCAAGCACACUGAGCCGGUAUUUCAGAGGUCCGUGGUUCGAUCCCCGGCGAAGGCA